rnacentral:rRNA from 1 species
AAGUCGAACGAAGUAGCAAUACUUAGUGACAGACGGGUGAGUAACAUGUAGGUAUCUGCCCUUUGGCCUGGAAUAACACGAGGAAACUUGUGCUAAUACCGGAUAAGUCUUUACGGAGAAAGCUUUAUGCACCAUUGGAUGAGCCUGCACUUGAUUAGUUUGUUGGUAGGGUAAUGGCCUACCAAGACUGUGAUCAAUAGCUGAUUUGAGAGGAUGAUCAGCCAUAUUGGGACUGAGACACGGCCCAAACUCCUACGGGAGGCAGCAGUGGGGAAUCUUGCACAAUGGAGGAAACUCUGAUGCAGCGAUGCCGCGUGAGUGAAGAAGGCCUUUGGGUUGUAAAGCUCUUUCGUCGGGGAAGAAAAUGACUGUACCCGAAUAAGAAGGUCCGGCUAACUUCGUGCCAGCAGCCGCGGUAAUACGAAGGGACCUAGCGUAGUUCGGAAUUACUGGGCUUAAAGAGUUCGUAGGUGGUUGAAAAAGUUAGUGGUGAAAUCCCAGAGCUUAACUCUGGAACUGCCAUUAAAACUUUUCAGCUAGAGUAUGAUAGAGGAAAGCAGAAUUUCUAGUGUAGAGGUGAAAUUCGUAGAUAUUAGAAAGAAUACCAAUUGCGAAGGCAGCUUUCUGGAUCAUUACUGACACUGAGGAACGAAAGCAUGGGUAGCGAAGAGGAUUAGAUACCCUUGUAGUCCAUGCCGUAAACGAUG